GGACUACUGGGGUUUCUAAUCCUGUUUGAUCCCCACGCUUUCGUGCAUCAGCGUCAAUAACAAUUUUGUGAGCUGCCUUCGCAAUCGGUGUUCUAUGUCAUAUCUAAGUAUUUCACCACUACAUGACAUAUUCCGCCCACAUCAGUUGCAUUCAAGAACGACAGUAUCAAUGGCAGUUCUGCAGUUGAGCUGCAGGAUUUCACCACUGACUUAUCAUUCCGCCUACGCACCCUUUAAACCCAAUGAAUCCGGAUAACGCUCGGGUCCUUCGUAUUACCGCGGCUGCUGGCAC
rnacentral:rRNA from 1 species